ensembl:lncRNA
GGUCCCUGUUCGCCCCUGAUACCAGAUGAUUAGGUUGUGGUCCCCGUCCGCCCCUGAUACCAGAUGAUUAGGUUGUGGUCCCCUUCCGCCCCUGAUACCAGAUGAUUAGGUUGUGUUCCCAGUCCGCCCCUGAUACAAGAUGAUUAGGUUGUGGUCCCUGUCCGCCCCUGAUACCAGAAGAUUAGGUUGUGUUCCCAGUCCGCCCCUGAUACCAGAUGAUUAGGUUGUGUUCCCAGUCCGCUCCUGAUUCCAGAUGAUUAGGUUGUGGUCCCUGUCCGCCCCUGAUACCAGAUGAUUAGGUUGUGUUCCCAGUCCGCCCCUGAUACCAGAUGAUUAGGUUGUGGUCCCCGUCUGCCCCUGAUACCAAAUGAUUAGGUUGUGGUCCCGGUCCACCCCUAAUACCAGAUUUUUAUGUUCAGGUCCCCGUCCGC